CUGUAGUUGGAAACUAUGGAAGUUGUCUUCCGGGAGAUCGAUCUGACGGAACAGGUAGAAGAAACCAAGACCGGAGAAACCAGUACCGGAAACCUGUACAACGGCUCGAGGUUCCAAACUAAUGGCAGUAAGAACCAGUAGCGCCGUUGUCAAGACCGAAAAUCGUGUAAUAGUUACCUAAUGUUUGGUAAGCAGCUAAAUACUUUUUAAAUAAGCCGAGGAGGAAUCCCUUCUUAUGAUUAGGAAACAAUGUGUAUAUUUUUUGCACAUUAAUUAUCCAUCCCUAUAACCCUGGGUUGUACGAUUCCUACGAUCAGUACGGUGUUGGAAAAAAAUCCAUCUCAUGGCGCACCAACAGUUUCGUACGGAUUUCCCUGUCACUUCCUGCUGAGAUUAAACCUGAUUUCAAAAACGGAUCCGGGUCCCAAAAAAGAACUGAAACUGGCAAACACAUUUUAUGAGUUGUGUUUUCAGAAUGUAGUGGAAAAAUUUUCCGCAAAAUUCGAUUCUAUAGUGAGUUUGUUAUCGAUCGAUAUCGAACAGUUUCAGAGGGUUACUUAUCUAACCUCUAUAGUUCAAGCAGCUCCGAGCCAAAGGCGUUUACCGAUCCACCUCGACGGAAGCGGAAAACCAUGCGUUGAGCAAAUUGCUCGUGCGGGCGAAAUUCAGCUACAUUCAUGGUAACGUUUAAGCUAUGAAAAUCACAACAGCUAUCUAAUCAAGGAAGAUCUUCCUCGAUCCAUAACGAUAACGAAAACUACGAAGAACUUGGGUAAAAUGAAGUUGUUGUUAAGGGGUGAACAAAAUUGCUGGAAAAAUUAACACCCCUGGAAUUCUACAGAUCACCAGUGAUUUACUGAUGCAUAAAUGUGUACUUGUGAACUGACCUAAUUCUGCUGAUAGAGUAUCUGCAAAAAUUUAAACCUACGCUGCAUGUGUACUAUUCGGGGGAGUUUCUUAACCA